ensembl:lncRNA
UUCUGAGCAUUUGCCAGUCAAGUUUUAUUUCACCUUUGAGAAAAAAAGAGAAAAAGAAUAGUUUGGUCUUUGUAAACAUCUAUAUCGUUUUUCAUAUCAUGUCAUUUUCAGCAUUGAAAAAUACUUUACUCUUUACUACGACAGUUUCCAACAUCAACACUGUAUUCAGAAUGAGUUUAAUUCAUGCAUCGACACACUCGUGGACGGAAUGAUAUGAAGAAAUGCGCACAUUCACACACACACACACACACACACACACACACACACACACACACACACACACACACACACACACACACACACACACACACACACACACACACCCUCAACACACACUCACAAUCAAAAGGAUAAGCGCACACUCAUUGUAGUUUGUUACUAUUCUAAGUUGUUCUACUCUUCGAGGGAUUUUUUUUGUCCUUUUACAAAACAAAUCACCAGAACAACACAAAAACAAAUGAAAACAAAUGCAACAAAAAAGUACAAUAAGAUAAUAAUAAUAAAAUGACUGAAAAAAAAUUAAAACACCAGAUAUUUUUAUCAAAAGCACUUUGUGACCUCAUAAAUAGGGCUGCAUGAGUAUAAAGUGAAAAAUAUAUAAAUAUUUAUAAGGUAGAGAGUGGCUAACGUAGAGAGGGAGGGAGAAAAGAAAGUAGAAAACAAAGAAAAUACACACUGAUUAAUAGAUAGAGGUCUGAAACACACAUACUGGAGAUGUUUCCAAAUUAGAAAGGUGGCAAAGCACAAAAAUGUAAAUUCACUUUGUUCUUUAUGAACUAUUCAGGAAUUACUUGUACCAAAUUCUUUACAUAUAUAUCCAAACAUUUCCAAAAAGCACAACUUGUUCUUCUUCAGAGGCUCCAAAAUAUGCAAGACAUUAUAAAAGAAAUAGCUCUAUAAAUAAAUACAGACAAAAUAUUUAAUGUAACCAGGAAGAAAUGGUGAGAAAAUAAUACAUUUUUGACAUUCACGUCAGUAUUGUGAAAUUUCCUUUUAUAAUUUCAAUGAUACAAAGCAGAAAGUCAAGCAGGAUGGAUCCUGUUUUAUGAUUGGCUGUCCAUUCUGUCACCCAAAGCAACAACCAAUCAGAGAGUAGAGUUCUGAAAUAGGAGGAGCUUCACUUUCCCAUUGAUUUUC